rnacentral:rRNA from 1 species
UACGUAGGGUGCAAGCGUUGUCCGGAAUUAUUGGGCGUAAAGAGCGUGUAGGCGGCCCGAUUAGUCCGAUGUGAAAGUCCAGGGCUCAACCCUGGAAUGCCGGUGGAUACUGUCGGGCUAGAGUCCGGAAGGGGCGAGUGGAAUUCCUGGUGUAGCGGUGAAAUGCGCAGAUAUCAGGAGGAACACCAAUGGCGAAGGCAGCUCGCUGGGACGUGACUGACGCUGAGACGCGAAAGCGUGGGGAGCAAACAGG